CCCAACCCGACCACCGCCGUCCAGCCAGGAGUCAACUGAGCAAGUCUAGCCAGUGUAGGCAAGCGACCUGUGGCCGUUGAGCCGGCCCGGCAACGCCGUCAUGCAGCCAAGACAAGCGCUCGUUCUGGUGAUAAAUCCUAGCAGAUACUGUGCGGCAGUCCCCGAUGGAGGGACGCGUCCAGCCCGGCGCGGCCGCCCUGCCGCCGCCGGCGGCGGACAUAUAUACAUUGUAAACAAAUUACACGUUACCAGAGUGCAGUGCGAGAAGUGCCGUGAGUGGUGAGGCCGGACGCAGCCGGCGCGCGCGCGCGGACUGGCACUGGCGGCGGCCAGUGCAUUCGAUCGUGUAGGGUAACGGACCGACUGGAGGGACCUGCGGCGCCACGCUGCGAGGGUCCGUGCAGCCAGCGUGCACGGUUGGCCAGGGCCGGCCGGCCGUCCCCACCGCCAGCACCUUUUUAUCAGACGCAAAUCAGCAUCGCAGCAGUUUUUAACAUGUGUUGGCAAUACAUGUGAUGAAGAGGUUCGCAUGUGUUAUACUUGCCGGGUGAUGCUAACACUUACUAUGUUAAUCUGCAUUACCUGCACUACUUGUUUCUGAGUUCGUUGGUGUCAGUCUGUGUCACAAGAUCUUCUCAUUGUAGGACGUUUUGUAAUAAAAGUUAAGUAAAUCGUA